GUUUACAGCCAUGCCACCAUGAACAAGCCCGAUCCUGUCUGAUCUCGGAAGCUAAGCAGGGUCGGGCCUGGUUAGUUCUUGGAUGGGAGACCACCUAGGAAGACUAGGUGGAAAAAAUA
rnacentral:rRNA from 1 species